rnacentral:rRNA from 1 species
AUGGCGGGUUGGCUGGCUUUUACCUGCUGCGCCGGGGCCCUGAUUCUUCUGUUCUUGCCGUCUCUAGCGUCGGAGGACCGGCUUGUCUCCGGCAAGCCGCUCUACCCCGGCGCCACCGUCAUCUCCGAUGGUGGUGCCUUUGCCUUGGGCUUCUUCGCCCCUUCCAACUCCACUCCGGGCAAGCUGUACCUCGGCAUAUGGUACAACGACAUCCCCGAGCUCACCGUUGUGUGGGUUGCCAAUCGAAAAAAACCCGUCACCGACAACACCUUCUCUCCACCGACGGUCUCCCUCUCCAACUCGUCGAAUCUCGUCCUCUCUGAUGGCGGUGGCCGUGUCAUUUGGACGACGGACGCCGUGGCUUCAACGUCGAGCUCAUCAUCUCCCUCGAUGGCGGUGCUCGAUAACACGGGCAACCUCGUCGUCCGGUCGCCAAACGGCAGCAUGCUGUGGCAGAGCUUCGACCACUACACCGACACGGUCCUUCCCGGCAUGAAGCUCCGGUUCAAGUACGGCGCGCAGGGUGGCGGGCAGCAUCUGGUGUCCUGGAAGGGCCCCGGCGACCCCUCUCCGGGGCGCUUCUCUUACGGUGCUGACCCGGCCACACACCUUCAGAUAUUCGUGUGGGACGGGGAUCGCCCAGUAGUCCGCAGCAGCCCGUGGACGGGGUACCUGGUGGUGAGCGAGCGGCAGUACCAACAGGAUAACAAUGGAGCAGCCGUGGUCGUCUACCUGUCCGUCGUCGACGACGGCGAAGAGAUCUGCAUGACCUACACCGUUGCUGCUGACGCGCCCCGCAUCAGGUACGUGGUGACACAUUCCGGCGAAUACCAACUCCGUAGCUGGAGCAACAAGUCGUCGGUGUGGCUAGUCCUCUCAAGGUGGCCAUCCCAGGAAUGCAAGCGGUACGGCUACUGUGGCCCGUAUGGCUACUGCGACGACUUAGCGCGGACGUGCAAAUGCCUUCACGGCUUCGAGCCGGCGAACACGGAGGAGUGGGACAAAGGUAGGUUCUCAGCAGGGUGCCGGCGGAAGGAUCUGCUGGACUGUAGGGACGACGGCUUUUUGGCCUUGCCGGGAAUGAAGUCACCCGAUGGGUUCACUCGGGUGGGCAGGGACAUGAGCACGUCGGAGGAGUGCGCGGCAGAGUGCAGACGCAAUUGUUCAUGCGUGGCAUACGCGUACGCCAACCUGAGCAGCGGACGACGGUCCGGUGGAAACGUUUCACGGUGCUUGGUGUGGUCGGGGGAUUUGGUUGACACCGCCAAGAUAGGCGAAGGGCUCGACUCCGACACACUAUAUCUCCGCCUUGCAGGCUUCAAUGGAGAGCUUGUUGGUGAAAGAACAUGGAGCAUUGCAUGGAGAAUACCAGUUUUAGGAACUGGUGUUGUGGCACUCUCCAUUUUCCUGGCAUGGCUAAAAUUUAAAGGCAAGAUUAGGAAAUGGAGAAAUAACAAGAAGACUACAUUGGAUGGUCUGAGUACCUCUUAUGAACAUGGGGAAGGACACCCUGCCCAUCAUCAUGACUUUCCUUUUGUAAGAUUUGAGGAGAUUGCUCUAGCAACGAACAAUUUCUCGGAGACAUGUAUGAUUGGACAUGGAGGAUUUGGCAAGGUCUAUAAGGGUAUGUUAGGUGGCCAAGAAGUUGCUGUCAAGAGGCUAAGUAGUGAUUCUCAACAAGGAACAAAUGAAUUCAGAAAUGAAGUAAUUCUAAUUGCCAAAUUACAACAUAGAAACUUGGUUCGACUUCUUGGAUGUUGUGGAGAAGGAGAUGAGAAGUUAUUGAUUUAUGAGUAUCUACCCAACAAAAGCUUAGAUGCUACCCUUUUUGAUGAUUCAAGAAGAUCAUUGUUGGAUUGGACAACGCGAUUUAAUAUAAUCAAAGGGGUUGCGAGAGGACUUCUGUAUCUCCACCAAGAUUCAAGACUGACUAUAAUUCAUAGGGAUCUCAAAGCCGGAAAUGUUUUGUUAGAUGGAGAAAUGAAACCCAAGAUUGCAGAUUUCGGUAUGGCAAGGAUCUUCUGCGAUGACCAACAAAAUGCAAACACUCAACGUGUCGUGGGAACAUAUGGCUACAUGGCUCCUGAGUAUGCAAUGGAAGGCAUUUUCUCUACUAAGUCUGACGUCUACAGCUUUGGCGUGUUAGUACUUGAGGUUGUAACCGGUAUAAAGAGAAGCUCGAAUAGUAACAUCAUGGGCUUCCCUAGUCUCACAGUCUACUCAUGGAAUAUGUGGAAGGAAGGGAAGACAGAGGAAUUGGUGGACUCGUCUAUCAUGAAUACUCAUUCUUUGGAUGAAGUUUUGCUUUGCGUCCAUGUAGCUCUCUUGUGUGUUCAGGAGAACCCAGAUGACAGGCCAUGCAUAUCAUCAAUAGUGUUCGUCCUAGAGAACGGAAGCUCCACACUUCCAACCCCCAAUCGCCCUGCCUACUUUACGCGACAGAGCGUACCAAUGGAGCAAAUCAUAGGUGAUAAUGAUAUACAGAACUCUGGGAACAGCUUUACUGUCACUGAGAUUCAUGGGAGGUGA